rnacentral:rRNA from 1 species
AGAGUUUGAUCAUGGCUCAGGACGAACGCUGGCGGCGUGCCUAACACAUGCAAGUCGAACGGGGUUAAGGGAAAUUUUCGGAUGGAACUUAACUUAGUGGCGGACGGGUGAGUAACGCGUGGAUAACCUGCCUCACACAGGGGGAUAGCAGCUGGAAACGGCUGGUAAUACCGCAUAAGACCACAGCACCGCAUGGUGCAGGGGUAAAAGAUUUAUCGGUGUGAGAUGGAUCCGCGUCUGAUUAGCCAGUUGGCGGGGUAACGGCCCACCAAAGCGACGAUCAGUAGCCGGCCUGAGAGGGUGAACGGCCACAUUGGGACUGAGACACGGCCCAAACUCCUACGGGAGGCAGCAGUGGGGAAUAUUGCACAAUGGGCGCAAGCCUGAUGCAGCAACGCCGCGUGAGUGAAGAAGUAUUUCGGUAUGUAAAGCUCUAUCGGCAGGGAAGAAAGGCCCGAAAGGGAGAUGACGGUACCUGACUAAGAAGCCCCGGCUAACUACGUGCCAGCAGCCGCGGUAAU